AGGGCCCGCACGCAGGGCAGGGAUGGCCCUAGUAUAGGGGCCGGAGGGGCAUGGAAAAAAGGAGGUUCUUGAAUCAAAAUUCGGGGGGUAUACCCUGGAAAAGUUAGGGACCUCCUAGGCACUGAGCUUUCGAGUACUAGAGGUCUUUGUAACAGCUGGCGGGAACGGAAACUAGGAGCAGAAGGAGAUGAUGCAGAUAACCAAGCAGAGACUGACAGUGCCUGGGGGAGCCUUCGGGCGACACUCUUGGGCUGCUGUCUGGAGGUUCAGGCAGAUUUAAGGAAGGCAGAGAGAGACCUGUUACGGUGCACAGGACGUUCUAGUGACAAUCCCCAGGGGGAGCUAGACAAUGUGAAUGAAGUGAGCUCCUCUAUCGACCCUCGGAGAGUGCUGAUCACUGAGGCAGGGAUAGACCCUAGUUCUGACUCUAGAGAAAUACUAAGUACAGAAGACAAGGGGGACACUUGCGCAGAAGUCACCAAGGACCUUUGCCCAACAUAUCUGGAUGAGUCCGGGAGUGGGAUGGAUCCUAUUGUAGAAGAGCGCUGCGAGACAGAGCUAAGUAAGGAUGGUGGAAUCUGAGGCAGGUGCGGAGACCUGAUCGCUCUGGCUGUGGAUAAUUAUGAAGUCCCAGGGAUAAGACUCUAAGCUGGGGUCAUUCCUCUGGCCAGAAUUAUCACUGAGGCUCUGAAAGAGGGCCCAGCUCUUCACUACCACUCAGAAGCCCAAGCCAAGCGCUGGGCCCACUAGGAAGCGAGAGAAGAGGCGUCAGAGCGGCGCAGCUCCGCCUUUCCCUCCGGAUGGAAUGACUCUUCUCUGCAGCUGCAGAGAGUAAUACUCCAUUGUGUAGAUGUACCACAGUUUCUGCAUCCAUUCUUCAGUUGAGGGGCAUCUGGGUUGUUUCCAGCUUCUGGCUAUUACAAAUAAAGCUGCU